GACGAACGCUGGCGGCGUGCCUAAUACAUGCAAGUUGAGCGCUGAAGGUUGGUACUUGUACCAACUGGAUGAGCAGCGCACGGGUGAGUAACGCGUGGGGAAUCUGCCUUCGAGCGGGGGACAACAUUUGGAAACGAAUGCUAAUACCGCAUAAAAACUUUAAACACAAGUUUUAAGUUUGAAAGAUGCAAUUGCAUCACUCAAAGAUGAUCCCGCGUUGUAUUAGCUAGUUGGUGAGGUAAAGGCUCACCAAGGCGAUGAUACAUAGCCGACCUGAGAGGGUGAUCGGCCACAUUGGGACUGAGACACGGCCCAAACUCCUACGGGAGGCAGCAGUAGGGAAUCUUCGGCAAUGGACGAAAGUCUGACCGAGCAACGCCGCGUGAGUGAAGAAGGGUUUCGGAUCGUAAAACUCUGUUGGUAGAGAAGAACGUUGGUGAGAGUGGAAAGCUCAUCAAGUGACGGUAACUACCCAGAAAGGGACGGCUAACUACGUG
rnacentral:rRNA from 1 species